GUUGUAUAGUUAAGUGACUAAGCGUACAAGGUGGAUGCCUUGGCAAUCAGAGGCGAAGAAGGACGUGCUAAUCUGCGAAAAGCUUGGAUGAGUCGAUAAGAGGCGUUUAAUCCAAGAUAUCCGAAUGGGGAAACCCAGUAGAUGAAGAAUCUACUAUCAACAAGUGAAUACAUAGCUUGUUGAGGCAAACCGGGAGAACUGAAACAUCUAAGUACCCCGAGGAAAAGAAAUCAACCGAGAUUUCGUCAGUAGCGGCGAGCGAAAGCGAAAGAGCCAGUAAGUGAUAACAGUAUGGUUAGGAGAAUGUGUUGGGAAGCACAAUCAAAGAGGGUGAUAAUCCCGUAUCUAAAAACCAUAUUGUGGUACUAAGCUAACGAGAAGUAGGGCGGGACACGUGAUAUCCUGUUUGAAGAAGGGGGGACCAUCCUCCAAGGCUAAAUACUCCUGAUUGACCGAUAGUGAACCAGUACUGUGAAGGAAAGGCGAAAAGAACCCCGGUGAGGGGAGUGAAAUAGAACCUGAAACCUUGUACGUACAAGCAGUGGGAGCCCCAUCACUUAAUCCGAUUGGAAAGUGAUGCGGAAAUAGAGCGCACUUUAAGGUAAGGCGAACGAAGUGAGACAAACCUUCCCAAAAAAAAGCAGUGGGAUUAAGUGAUGGGGUGACUGCGUACCUUUUGUAUAAUGGGUCAGCGACUUAUAUUUUGUAGCGAGGUUAACCGAAUAGGGGAGCCGAAGGGAAACCGAGUCUUAACUGGGCGACUAGUUGCAAGGUAUAGACCCGAAACCCGGUGAUCUAGCCAUGGGCAGGUUGAAGGUUGGGUAACACUAACUGGAGGACCGAACCGACUAAUGUUGAAAAAUUAGCGGAUGACUUGUGGCUGGGGGUGAAAGGCCAAUCAAACCGGGAGAUAGCUGGUUCUCCCCGAAAUCUAUUUAGGUAGAGCCUUGAGGUGACACCUUUGGGGGUAGAGCACUGUUUCGGCUAGGGGUCCAUCCCGGAUUACCAACCCGAUGCAAACUACGAAUACCAAAGAGUGAUACUCAGGAGACACACGGCGGGUGCUAACGUCCGUCGUGGAGAGGGAAACAACCCAGACCGCCAGCUAAGGUCCCCAAGUCUAUAUUAAGUGGGAAACGAAGUGGGAAGGCUUAGACAGCUAGGAUGUUGGCUUAGAAGCAGCCAUCAUUUAAAGAAAGCGUAAUAGCUCACUAGUCGAGUCGGCCUGCGCGGAAGAUGUAACGGGGCU
rnacentral:rRNA from 1 species